GCCUUCGUGGUGUAACAGUAGCACACUCGGUGCGUAUUCAAGAGGUCCAGGUUCGAGUCCUGGCGAGGGCA
rnacentral:tRNA from 1 species